rnacentral:rRNA from 1 species
AACGCUGGCGGCAUGCCUUACACAUGCAAGUCGAACGGCAGCACGGGAGCAAUCCUGGUGGCGAGUGGCGACGGGUGAGUAAUAUAUCGGAACGUGCCCAGUCGUGGGGGAUAACGUAGCGAAAGCUACGCUAAUACCGCAUACGAUCUAUGGAUGAAAGCGGGGGAUCGCAAGACCUCGCGCAAUUGGAGCGGCCGAUAUCAGAUUAGGUAGUUGGUGAGGUAAAGGCUCACCAAGCCGACGAUCUGUAGCUGGUCUGAGAGGACGACCAGCCACACUGGGACUGAGACACGGCCCAGACUCCUACGGGAGGCAGCAGUGGGGAAUUUUGGACAAUGGGCGCAAGCCUGAUCCAGCAAUGCCGCGUGCAGGAUGAAGGCCUUCGGGUUGUAAACUGCUUUUGUACGGAACGAAACGGUGAGCUCUAAUACAGUUUGCUAAUGACGGUACCGUAAGAAUAAGCACCGGCUAACUACGUG